CUUGACAUCAAAACAUCUAAGUUUCAAGACAGUCGAUUUUUGUAUUUUUGUCCACCUUCGCGGCACUGUGCGACGGUUCGGUUUCCGGUU